rnacentral:tmRNA from 1 species
GAUCGACGUUAAUGAAGCAAAUCCAUAAUUGCCAAUGAUGAGCAAUUCGCUAUUGCCGCCUAAAAACGGUUAGCCGGGGCUGCUAGAGCCUUGUUACCAAAGAUAGCCGGCGGGGACUUCGGUCCCCGUCGUCA